CCCUGGUCCUCGCCUUGCGUCCGGUCUGGAGCUGUCACCCCGGAGUACCUCUCGGAGUCGGCUGGAAGCAGCCAGCAGCGCAGCUCACUCCCGAGCGCCGGCGCCCUAGAAGCCAGCAGUCUCCGCCGCAGCUCACAACAAAGGAAACAUGUGACCGUCCCGGCCAAAACACUGAGCGUCACCCAGCCCUGGCCAAUCCGGGGGGGCGGCCUCCGCGCGGGGCACGCUGGGAAUUAUAGUUCCAAACCUGCUGAUUGGAAAGGUUGUGUUAUUUUGCACAGCCGGUUACGGAAAUGCAGCUUAUGCAAGGAGCCUACUGAGAAACAUGCGUAGUAGACUUAUUGUCCUCAACGCUUCUCCAACACCCUAGGCACAAACAGAACUAGGAAUUCCCAGAACCAAAGAGCUUGGAGUAAAGCCUAGAGAUCUCUUUAUUUGAUCAUUUCCUGUCCAAUUGGGAAAUCCCUGAGGACCUGGGGGUGGAAAGGAGUAGUCACUAGAAGGCUCGAGAGAAACUUCCUUUCUUUGUAAAUCUCUUGUCACUUGUAUCAAAUCCUAGGUUACCUUUUUAUUUUAAACAUACAAGCAAGUUGAACUGUUGCAGAUCAAUAUUCCAAAGCAGAUUGAUUCCCCAAAAGGGCAUUAUUUUGUCAUUUUGUUUUUGCAAAUAUUUUUUCGAGGAUGAAUGUAUAACCUGGUUUUUCCACCAAUUAACUGGUUUUUAAUAUCAAAGUUAUAGCUCAUUUCUCUUCUACACUUCAUGAAUACAAUCAUGUGUCCUAUUACAUGGGAGGAUGUGACCAGGAAAUAAUAUAGAAGGCAUAGUAAAAAAGGAAAGAAUGAAGAGUAAAAGAAUAUAAAAUAUCCAUUACAUAGAAUUUGAAAAACAAGCUUGGAGAAAUAAAGUGACUUAGGAACCUAGAAACCAAAGCUAGCCCACAGCGCUCCCAGACAGGGUCCUGUUUUCUAAAGAGAGGCUGCCCACUGGGUACAGGAAAGCAUUCUGCCUUUGCUCUUAGAUACCUGCAUUCCGAGGCCACAUAACCGAGCUCAAACGGUGCG
rnacentral:lncRNA from 1 species